AAGGUUAGGUAUCCUUUUUGAAUAUUUGGCCAUGUUGGCCAUUGUGUUCAUAGAUAUUACAACUGGGUAGGACUGCUGUUUCCCUUCCUUGGAAGCUUGCCUAGUAUUUUCUGGUAUCAUGGAGGCUAGACACAGGCAAUAGACUUUCAAGUCAGAGCCAGUUUGAAUGAUCCAAGUUUUGUGUCCUAGAAACCCACCCUUGACCCCUGAGAGUCAACUAAGGGCUGCAUCAGUAGCCUGUGUUGUUCUGAGAAUCCCCUGAACCACCCUGACCCACCAUGUGAAAGGAGAUUUCCCAUGCCUGGUACAGGGGUUAUAUGACUUUUUUAGGUAAAUAUAUUAUUUCUUGAGGCUUUAUCAAAUAAUCUUGAUAUUAUUUGUCCCUUGUUCCUUCUUUCUUUGUAUUGAAGGAAGACAGUCAAUACCCCUGGCUUUUUAUGUGGAUCCUGGGGAAACCCAACUUAGUUCAUAACAUUGUAUGACAAGCAAGUUACUGACAGAGCCAUUUCUCUAGAUACAAGCAAAUGUAUAUCUUACAGAAUGUAAAUAAUUUUCUUCUCACAUAUAAUUAGCACCUAUUUAAAAUACAAGAUUCUACCCAUAGCUGUGUGAAUCUCAACGUAAGAGAAUGUGUUUGGUUUGAAUAUAUCCUUAAAGAUGCAUCCACAGAUACCACUUGACAUCGGAAAAUGCCUUUUUAACUAAAACUUUCAUAAAUAUUUCAUAUUGCUCCAUUAUAGUUGUUUGGUGGUAGGUAGCAUUUCUUCUUAACUUAGACCUACUUUUUCUCAUCACAAAUACACGACAUGGAUAUUUUUCAGCCAAGUGCUCUACUGCUGAGUUCUACUCCAUCAUAAAUACAUGCACUGAAAAUCUGUAUCUUUAUUCUGGUGAUAAAGUUCUGGGAUGAGAGUUGUUAGACAUAUGCCUCACAGUGCAGUCUUAAUAGUCUUUGAAAUCAUUAAUUCAUGGCUUCUGGUAGGAAUCCAGGAUCCUAUCGCAGGAUUAAUGGAGACAGAGAGAGAACAGCAAAUGUGAAAUGUGUCAAAAACAGAACAAAACACAACAUUGUUUAACCUUUGUUGUGCUGCAUCCUGAGUGUCAGUACCUGGGUAGCAGCACAUCUUAUGUGGACUGCACAGUCCUCAUCGUGAUGCACUGGUGAGUUCUGACUGGUCUACCAGACUGACUAGUGCUGAUAUCUUACUACCUGGUUUUUCUGGGGUAGAAAUAGAAGUAAGGAGAAUUAAUGUACCCAGAGAGGAGAGAUAGUUAGGAAUAUUACACAGAAUAUAUUUUUUUAAAAAAAACCUUGGUUUUAAAAUAUUUUUAUCAUGUGUGCAUGUAUGUGUGAUAUGAUACACAUGUGGAAAACAGAGGACAACUUGCGAGGGUUUGUUCUUUUUCCAUCGUGUGGGUUUGGAUGAUCAAAUUCAGGUCAUAAGGCUUGGUGCCAAGUACUCUUAACUCCAGCCACCUUUUCAGAGAUUUUACAUAUUUUUUAACAUGUUCUUUGGUGGGGAGGGCAAAUACACGUGCCACUGUUGAAGAAUGGAGACGAGAGGACAGAUUGCGGGAGUUGCUUCUUUCCUUCCACCUCAUGGAUUCCAGGUAUAAAGCUUGUGGUUUUAUAUCUUAGCAAGAAUGAGAUCAAGUAAAAUUGUGUGGAUGCUUCUCCGCUCAUAGUUUCAAAUAAAGAAAGUAUAAAGACGCACAAGAUUAGAAGUGUGUAACUCUCUAGGAAAAGUUGUGUGCUUUGUAGGCUUUAAGUUACAGAGUAACACUGUAUAAGUACAGAUCAUCGAUUCACAAAAUGUUGAAUGUUUUAUUUUCAAGCUGAAAAAUAAAUAUUUAUUUAUGCUAUGCAACAUAAUUUUAUUAUGAAUAUACUAUGAAGUGGCUUAAUUAAGCUAAUAAAUGUAUUACUCUUGUUUCUUGUGUUAAGAAGGCUUAUUCUUCCUAGUUAUCUCCAAAUCUAUGUUAUAUUGUCAUAUACUAUAGUGACUGUGACGGCUCUUGCUUCUUAACUACAGAGAAGUUGUACAUCUUUACUUGUGUACUAAAGUUUGCUAUAAUCGACCCAGUGUGUCCUGCCCUCUGCUAUCACAUUCUGAGAAAUGUAUUUUAGCUCCUUUUCAACGUUUUUAUCUGAUGCAGACUUGAUUCUAUCUAUGUUUUAUAUAUUAAGGUUUAUCACGUAUAUGAUUUUCAGAAGUUCUCUACCAACUGGUAGGUUGUUCUCUUUAGUCUUGAUUUUUUUCUUUGCUGUGAAGAUAUAUUUAGUUUGUAAUCCUGUUUGUUAAGUUUUUCUCAUCUGUCUUUUGGACUUCUCCCAAAAAGUUAUUGCAAGGCCAGUGACAAGCCACAUCUGCCCAUUUUCCUCUGGUGUGUCUAAUCUGCAGUCUAACAUUUAGGUCUUAAUCUAGCUUGAGUUGAUUUUUGUGCAUGGUAUGAGGUCAAAGCCUCAUUUCACCUGUCUACAUGGAAACACACAUUCGGUUUCCCAGCCCUUCCUUCCCAGCUGUGUACUGUAGCAUCUUUGCUGUGAACAGGUCGUGCAUCUCAUGGCCCUUGGUUCCUGUGUUUAAGGGAAACUGUUUUGUGGGAAGAUGGGGCAGGCUGUCCAUCCAUUGGAGUGCAGACUAGACCUGUUUUUCUUUCAAGAAGCAAGGGCCUUAUCUCUGCCCUUAUUUAGAGGAGAUUUAAUCUCUAUUAAUAAUUUAGAGAAAACAUUAUUAAUGGUUGUGGGAGAAAUCCGACUCUAGCUUGUCUCUGCUGAUCAAGAGCCAGGCCUUCCUUCCUGAGAAAGAAGAUAAAUUUAUCAGUGAGAUAAAUUUCGACAGCACAGGUAGAGAGAUUUGUCUCUAGCAGUUUAAGAUGCUUGGUUAUCUGUCGGGCACAAAUAAGAGGGCUCAUAAAUAAGCAUGUCUACACUUGGGUUCCUAAAUUAAAUUUGUUAAUGCCUAAAAACUGGUCAUGAAAGCUGCUUGCUAAUUUUGGGUCAAUUAAAAGUUGGCAUCUUGGUCUGCUCUAUGAAAUUUAUAAUUAAGGUGUAAAUUUUGGGUACACUAUAAUCUGUUAUGUGGUUAAAAUAUCCCUAAGCAGGGAAAAACAUUACAGGUUAUCUAAGGAGUGAUAAUCUUGCAACUUUUAAUUCUUGGGGUUCACUAUUGAGAGUGCCCUGAUAGAGUGUUAGUUAGAAAUGGUGAGUUCAUGGCUUGGCUGAAUAAAUAAUUCAUACCGUACAAAAGAGGCCUUUUCUCUUCCCCAGUUCCUUUCUCCCCAUUAUGUUCACGUUCUCUCUUUCAAAGGGCCCCUUUACAGCCCAAGAGCAGCUCUGUGUGAAUAUGGAAGGGCUUGGGCAUGAUUUCAACCUCAGGCUUAGCUGAGUUUAGGGGUCAUGUCAGAGAAUGAAGAAUGUCUUCAGUGUGUAUUCUGUAGUAGCAGCAGAGAAAAAUACACCAGUAGAAGUUUGGAGGACCUCAAAUCCUCAUGGUAGGAAAGCACUCAACACUUCUAUAUGCUUCAGUAUACCUGUUUUAAAAAUUGUUUUAAAGAUGAGUAAACCACUAGUUCUCUCCUACUUUUUUCAGAAAGCUUUUACUACAUUAAAUGAAAUGUCUGGUAUAAUGUAGGAUUUUAAAUUUUCUUUAAUUUAAAAAAUCCUUUAAUCCGUGAGAAAUUUGAAGAUUUAUACUGCUGAUGUUGAGCUCUAGCUUUCCCUACCUUUCAUUAUACCACAGAGUAGGGUUCUGCCAUAUGCUUUUGUCUGUUCUGUAACUCGUGACUCUCAGUGAUUUGUUGGCACAGGGCCCUGCAUUCUAGUUGGGUAUUUGUUGAGGGCAACACUAUUGGAGAUAAUAUUUACCCAUUAUCAAUAAACUUCACCCCUAGUCUUGGUUGGAAGUAUGUAAUAUCCAAAGCAGCAGUAGAAAGUGAAAUUUAUGUUAAUUAAGUACUUCUCAUGGUAUAAGAUUUUGGGGUUUAUCAGCAGACAUUUAAAGUCAAUGAACUAUAACCUAUCAAAGGGAAAUAACUAUUUGUGAGCGGGAGUUCUGCUGGCUCUACAAUAUACCAUGCUUCGUCACUGUGUUUGUCCUUGAGGUUUUAAAUAAGAUAAAAUAGGAUGUUUGGUAGAAUUCAAUGCUUUAUGCUCUAUCAUAUGCUAAUUCGUCAUAUGAUGUAGGCUACAUGAUACAGAAUAUGUAGGAUACAAAGUAGGAUAUAAGUGCUACAUUUUCAUAGAAAUAAAAUCUGUCUGUUACCAAUUUUCCCUUUUCUCAAACUUGAAAUACUGCUCCUCUUUUCUUAGAACUUAAUAAUUUUUCUAAUAUUAACUUUAGAAAUAAUAAUAAUUUCAUGGCAGGUGAUUUUAAAUACUAAAUUGUGUUUUGUUUUUUAAUUUAAAUUAAAUGAAACCAUCAACAGGUCUUAAAACUUACUGCUGCAUAGAAAGCAGCCUUGAAGUUUAGUGGCUCAAAACAAAGUAAUUUGCUAUUGGAAUUCUGAGGGCUGACUAUUUGAUUCUUCUGCUCUUUGUGUUCUAGCAUGGAAGGGCAAGUGUCUUGUUCCCUAGCUAGUCUUGCUCACAACAUGAUAGGGAUUUCAGAAUGUUCCCAAGACAAAGGCAAGAAGCUGUACCUUGUUUGUUUGUUUGUGUCACUGAAUUUCUACUGAUGUACUAAAGGGUUUCAUGAAUAACUCCAGCAGACCAACCUCUUGUGCCAUGAAAGAGCCUAGAAUCACUGAUUUCCUGUAUGCAGGGCAGAUUAAAGCCACACUCCAAAAGUUUCCCUGUUCCAGUGACCCACCCUGUGACUUGGUAUUCUGAGUUUGUGUUCCAAAAGUUGGAUGGCUUCUUUGUCCUUCCACAGAACAAAUCACAGCCCUGGCACUCAGCAUGGGCUGUGCAGGUGCUGUCGGCCAUCUUACCAGAGGACACCAGGCUGGAAAGCCUUGUUUGCAGCGUUCAUCCUCUGCCUGUGCCUCACAGAUCCCAGGGCGGCUUUGAUGUUCAGAGCAGCAAAGGUCUUCACCAAGGUGACCUGUGUGUCCACAUCUGAGAAGCUGUACUUUUCAAAGUCUAGAUUCUAAGGUUUCUCAGAGUUCAUUCUGCCUAUUUUAUUUUUUUCCUAUGGUUAAAACAGAUUCUGUAAAUAGUACACAUUAAGAAAUACGGUCUUUAUGGCAAAGACACUGAACAAGAGUAAAUGGAUGGUAGUAAUGUAACUUGCAUGUGCUUCAGGCAUCCAUUGGGGUCUCGGCACAUACACGGUGAGACAGUAGUUACAGAUACUUUGAUAACACAUUGUAAUUAUCUCAAGUCUUUAUUCUUUAUACUUACCACUGAUACAUAUUUGUCAGUACUUUCUGAUAGUUCCAGUCUGAAAAAGUUAUAUCAAUCAUAUAAUGUAUAGGUCUUCAAGCAUCUGUUAAUGCUUUAGCUACUUACACACUAUGCCAUACAGGUUGUACAAAGCAUAGGUAAAAAGCAUUUUAAAUACUUGAUUGUCUCUUCCUAUUUGCCAUAAUUCUACAUUAUACAGUAUAUUCUACUUUCCAUUUUCCAGAACAAUCUUGUGACUUUAUUAAGCAGCUAUCCCCACCUCACUCCCACCCUGUCAGCUCCAGAAGUGUUUUUAUGAUCUAUUUUCCAGAUCACUCGCCAUUUGGAUUUAAGAUGUUGAGUGAUUAAAGACAGUAAUUUUCCAGUGGCCAGUUCUUCCUUUUCUCCCCAUUCCCAUGGUGAUGGAAAUGAAGCCCAGGGAUUUUUGCAUGCUAAGCAGCAAACAUUUUAUCAGAGACCUGUCCCUCCACCUCAGCAGUCAUAGGUAAUAAAGACAGAAAAAGAUAAAACUUCCUAUGAUUAAAAAUUGUGGAGCAGAAGUUUUCUUUAUUAGUCAGCUGUUCUUUGUUCUAGUCUUCCUCCAGCCUAUAAUACUGCCAAUGCAGAGUUUCAUCUACUAAGUCAGAGUCGCAGAAACUGACCUCCUUCAAGAAAAGUAAAUAUAAUUCAUGUCCUGAUUUGCUCUGGAAAAUAAUAUUGAGGACUAAGUUGGUUUUAGACAAUGGCUACAAAAGAAAAAACUAAAUAAAAUGUUACUGUUACAAAAUAGAAAAUUAAAAAAAUGAAUCUAGGCAUAACGAAGAACUUUGGAAACCUACAAAUGAGCAGCUGUAUAUCAGAAAGAGAGGUACGUGUAUGGGAUGGAAGGUGGAGGGGAGGCCUGGGUAUUUGGGAUUUUUCUGUUCUUGCUAAUUUGACACUUAGAAAUUGAAACAGUUUUGUUUCAGAUACUAUUCUAUGAAGAAACAGUUUUCCAUUAUGGUAAGAGUUCUGGAAAUAGAUUCCUAGCUAAACUAAGAGAUCGAGAAGGAAAACAUUUUGCAAAGAUAGUUCCAAAAAUUCUUAGGAGUUGCUGCAGUUUCUUAAGCAGUGGCAUUUCUUGUGGUCUGUUUUUAUCAGGUACUGCGAGUCAGAUCCAGCGAAGGCCUAGACUGUGUGGCAUUCGGCCAUUAGGGAAAUACCAGUGAGGCUACAGCAUCACCUAAGUGGAGAGGGCGCCAGUUGUCAUUCUACCCCACCGUACUGUGGCCAUGUGGCAUUCAGCAUUAUUAUUGCCAACAUUCUGGGAAGGAUCCUGAAAAAAGAUUUUAUGUGGGUUAGUUGCUAAUUGUAAUCAAAUGUCUUUAAAACAUACUGUGCUGAUCAUUGUACUAAGCAUAUACCUUUGACAAAGACUUGGCCCUUGCUUCUACCUUAUAAAAGACUUCAAGAGACAAUUUUAAAAAAAAUUAUAAAUAUUGAAAGACAGAAGAAAAGAACGGGAGGAAGAAAUACUGUCCUCAUGUAUAAAAUAUGCUGUGUUAUAGUUUUACUCUAAGUUCAAGAAGCCAUUCACAGUCACCAGAAGAGUUUUCAUAUGCUUUUAAGUGUUUACCUCACAAGUUCAGCCAAUGAAACUGAAAAUGCAAAACUGGUAACCCCAGGGAAGAGAGUGUGUAGAAUGUGGGGCACCAGUGAACUGCUAGAUGAGAGUACCGUGUUUUCUCUUUAACUCAAAAAUAAAGAAUGACAGCAGUACAUCCAAUAUCAGCCUAAAUGGAGAAAAAAAAACUUAAAGUAGUCCCACUGACGUCAGGAAUGAGAUAGGACUGCUACCCACUGUCCCCACUUCUUUUCAAUAUUGUACUCAGAGCACUAGGCAAAAGAAGGAAAUUAAAGGGAUGCAAAUAGGGAAAGAAAAAGUCAUCCAUCCUUAUUUGCAGAUGAUGUAUUCUACAAAGAGAUUACAAAACUCUCCUAGAAAAUUUGUAGAGCAACUCAAACAAACCAAUGGCUUUUCUAUAUAGCAACAGCAAAUGCAGAGGAAGAGCUCUUGAACAUUUCAGUUUAUAAUAGCCUCAAUGAAAUAAAUGUCUAGGAAUAAGCCUAACAAAGGAGGUUAAGGACCUUUACACUGAAAACUUUAAGCCUCCAAAGAAAGAGAUCAAUAAAAAAUACCAAUAGAACAAAACAUGAGUACAUAUGACCACAGAUAUUAAGAGAUGCCAAAAACCUAUGUUGAAGAAAACAAAGCAUCUUCAUUAAAUAGAAAACUAGAUGUUCACAUACAGCAGAAUGAAAUUACAGCCAUUUCUAUCACCUUGCAUGAAAACUAACUUCAAAUGGAUCAAAAUCCAAUUGUGAAACCUGAAACGACUAGAAGAACACCUAGACAGUGUCUCCAUGAUACAGGUAUAGGAACACCUAGACAGUGUCUCCAUGAUAAAGGUAUAGGAACACCUAGACAGUGUCUCCAUGAUACAGGUGUAGGAACACCUAAACAGUGUCUCCAUCAUACAGGUGUAGAAACACCUAGACAGUGUCUCCAUGAUAGGGUAUAGGAAGAACUUUCUGAGGAGGACUUCAUUUGCUCAAGAAUUAGGCCUUUCAGUUGAAAAGCUUCAUAAAACUAAAAAGCUUCUAUACAGCUAAAGAAAAAAAGACAUCUUUGUAAGAUAUUUAUCUGACAAAGGAUUAAUAUCCACAAUACAGAAAGAACUCAAAAAACAAAGUUAAAAAAAUGGGCCUGAGGUCCGAACUGAGAGUUCCCAGAAGAAACAAAAAUGGCUGAGAACUGUCUCAGACGUGUUCAUCAUCCCCUGCAAUUAAGGAAAUGCCAGUCAAGCGACUUUAAGGUUUCAUCUUAUCCUAGUCAGAUGGCAAAGAUCGACACAGCAAGCCAUAACAAAGGUUAGAAAGGGUGUGGCAGAAAGAGAACCCUCAAUCACUGUUGAUAGGAUAGCAGACUGGUCCAGUCACCUUGGUAAUCAGUGUGUGAAAAAGGCAACAUUCUACCCCAUGAAUACUGGCUUAGUCAUAUUCAUUGCUGCUCCUUUCAUAAAAGCUAGAAAAUACAAUCUAAAUGUCCUUCAGCAGAUGAAUGGAUAAUGAAAAUGUUGAUAAGCACUAUUAAAUAUUAUUCAGAUGUAAAGAAAAAUGAAAUCAUGAAAUUAUAAGGGAAAUAGAUGGAACUAGGAAAGAGUUUGGUAACCCAGACCCAGAAAGACAGACAUCACAUGUUCUCUUCUAUCUGGGGUUCCUAGCCCCAAACCUGUAUAUGUGAGUCUAUAAUCUAGAUUAUGUGCAGAAACCAGGAAAGUAAAAUGGGGCAAUUGCUGAGGGAGGGGUAUAGGGGAGUAAUGGAAAGAAAUAGGGUACAAGUGAUCCGAUCAUGGAGAUGGGAAAAUGUGGGGUCUCAUUGGGAAGGGGCAGAUAAGUACAAAAGAACGAGGGAGGAGGAUAAGGGUUUCUGAAAAAGUCAUGAGGAUUACCUACCUAAAAAUACCUAUAACAUUUGUAAGUUUGUGUAUAAAUAUGAAUAUAUAUAUAUAUAAAGUUUAAAUGACAUUUUUACAUCUAGGUUGAUAGUGCUCCCUGUAGGAGCCAUAGGCUAACAAACCCCAAUAUGAGGCAUGAGAAACUUUUUGUGAGUGAAACUCAGGGUUUUCCAGAGCAUUAUAGAUAAUUGCUGUUGCCCUUGUUUGUCUCCUGGAAGUAGAAGGUGAGACCCUAUUUAAGAAGACACUGUGUAUGUCAGACAUAGGCUAGAUCUGUCCUGAAAGCCUCCUCAGGGUAGCUUACAGAGUAUCAAAAGGCACCAUGCAAGUUUCUAAAGCAGGGAAACAACCAGUAGUCCUGCCUAGCUAUUACGCCUGUGACCAUCACAGCUAGCACGGCACAGUAACCCUAAGAGUGGAGUAUGGCAUGUGGACCUUGUGGUGACCCACAGCUCUCUAUUUGGACUUACAACCUGUUCAGCAAGAGAAAAAUCAUACCUGGGGUACUGCAAAACCUAGCCAACCACCAGAACUAAUGAAGUCAUGAAUUUGGAGGAAAAUCCACAAUUGCCACUUUACUAAACCAGCAGAACCCUUACCUACUUCCUAAAUAUUUGUCGUUAUACCCAUAUAUAAGUGUAGUCCUUUAUCCUCAUACAGAAACUUCUCUUUGUAAUAGCCAGAGACCAUUAUAGAAAACAGCAACAGAUCAAAAUGCAGAGUUAUGGAGCUCAAUCCCAACCAGUACAUCUACAACACAACUCCUGCACCUUGGGCUAGAAAUCAUUGUGGAAGAGGGGACAGAAAGAUUGUAAGCGCCAGGAAAACAGAGUUUGCUGUGAUAUUGUGUCUCCUAGAAAUGUCAGAAGCUACAGGUAUGAAGAUUCACCAGCAUGGCUUCCUAAAACAGGACAACACCAGUAGACAAGCUACUGUGGAAGGAGGCUUUGACCAUAGCCAGAGAUUUACAGUAUGUGGGGAAAGCUGCAAGUGGGAGAAGUAGUCUUCCCCAGGGCAGAGCAGGCCAAUUGGUCAUGUAAUGCCAAAUAGCCCUGAAAAUAGGCAUACAAGUCACAUUAUACCAGCUGAGCAGGUCGUGCUUUUUAGGAUUACACAUACACACACACACACACACACACACACACACACACACACCAUUAAAGAAAAAGAGGCCAUGAAUUUGAAAGAUAUGAAGAAGUGGUUAUAUUACAUAGUGGUUAUAAUUUCAAAACAUAGAAUUUUUUAAUGUUUUUUAAAAAGCAAGAGAAUAGCAGAAACAAGAUAGAGAUGGUAUGAGAACAAAGCCACCUCUUCAGACCUAGUGAUCUUGAGACCCAGUAGCCCAUGAAAACACUGAUGUUAUAGAGGAUAAUGUGGGUGAUAACUGAGCAAAAAGAGGUCAAAUUGUUGGGAAGUCUGUUUUUUUAAAUAUUCCUACUAAUGACUUAAAAUACAUAAUCAUUGUAGGGAAAUUUGACAACCUAGGAAAUGACAGUAUUUUUAAAGUCAGAAAUAAUGCAUAAUAGAUUGUAUAAUUUUCUAAAAAGCAGAAUUUGUCAUUGCUGGUUCCUUAACAGCCAACUCUUUGUCAGAUGGGUCCAAUUUAAGUCUAAGUAAAAAGGCUAUCAUUUGACUCAGAUGAUCCUUAUUUCUAGCCCUGUCCAAAAAUGUCAACAUAAAAACAGACCGAAGACCUUAAUGUAAGAGCUGGACUUCUUAAACUAAGGCAAACAAACACUUAAAGGUAUGGACACAGACACGGACAUACUGGAAAAGACUCCAGUAGCUUAGGCAGCAAUACCAAAAGAAGACAAAUGUGGCUGCCUAAAAUAAAAUAAAAUAAAAGUAAAGAGACUGCCCGGGAGUGCAGAAAGUCUUCCAGCUCUGUGUCUGACAGACACUGUCUAGAGCACACAAGGAACUAAGAAGCAGUUGAUGCUUAAACCCUUAGAACAGUCUAACCAGCAAAUGAGCUAAUGAAUAGUUUCCAAAAGGGGGCCUGUGAACAUGAAAAAUGUUCAGUAUCUUUUGUAAUUAGGGAACAUGUAAAUUAAAACUGCAAUGAGAUUCUAACUUGAGAAGUAGAGUGGCUUUCAGUCUAAGAAGACAAUAACAAAUGCUUGGAUGGAGGUGGAGAAGGAACCUUAUACAAUAUUAAUUUUUUAAAUUGUGUAAUUUUUUUCUUUUAAAUCCAAAGUAAGAAAAAUUGAAACUCACUUGACCGUCUUGUGAGCAGUACGGUUUCCUUUAUGGCAGUACCCUUGCCCCUCAGACCUGCUUCUGUCUUGUGUGGUGUUGUUUUAGCUCAGGGUAACAGACUGAUCCUUGGCACAGGAUGCUUACCGUACUGGGCUUUAUAUAACACAGAUUCCUGUAAUGUAGGAAUUCUGCUUCCCCUGAAGCAUAUUGACUACUGCAAGAACACCUCUUCAACAGUUGGCAGACCCUGUUACAUACCCUAGUACCACCAGCAGAUGGAUGGAUGGAUGGAUGGAUGGAUGGAUGGAUGGAUGGAUGGAUGAUAGAGUGUAAUACCUACAAUGUGUGCUUUCUUUCCAGUGACUCAGUCAUAAAAGCAAAGUUCAGAUAAUAAAUCAUUUACAAAGCAAAAACAUUAUUUUUAAGAUCUUAAAUCUUCUAUGAAGAUGUUCAUUGCAUUGUACCAUUUUGACUAAAAUAUCUUAAACUAAUUAACUAUAUAUUUCCUUUCAGUUUUCAGAUUUCUGCAUAUCAAUAUUUUAGUUUCUGGGUCACACAGACAUUACAAACAGAACCAAAUGGUUUGUGUAUUUCGUUGCCAGCUUACUUCUUUGACCAUUCUCUGACUUCUCAUUGUUUGGUUCCCUUUCAACUAAACCUGUUUACUUGUAUUUGCACACAAUACCCUGUUAGUUCUUUGCACAGAACUGGUCUGCUUGUGCGUGCGUGUGCGUAUGUGCAUGUGCAUGUGUGCGUGUAUGUGUCUCUAUCUGUCUCAUUGCUGUGUUCCUCCGUAGCUAAGAGUGACAAAGCAAGUGAAUGUCUGUGGUUGGAUGGAGGUGUGUUAGAUUUGUGGCCAUACAGAAGAUCACACCUGUUAAAUCACCUACUGCCAUGCUAAUCAUCAUGUGAAAGCUCGCUUAAAAAAUCUAGGAGCACUUUCAGUCUCUGUCACUUUUUUCUUCAGCACUGCGCAUUGAGCCACCUAGGCUUGCUGCAUGCUAGUACCUUGCCCCGCUGCCGUAGCAUGUCUUCAGACACAGCCUGUGGACAUUGUGGUACUGAGAAACUCAGAGUCAGCACCCGACAUACAUUGAAAAUGUGAAGUUAAUUUUCAUGUUAGACAGUAGAGCCUUUUCUUCGGAUAAAAUGUGUGGCCUUACUAUCUAGAGCAUUGAUUCUCAGCCUGUGGGUCUCAUCCCCAUUGCAGGUCAAAUGACCCUUUCAUAGGGGUUGCCUAAGACCUUCAGAAAACAGAUUUUUAUAUUACAGUCCAAAUAAAUUAUGAAGAAGCAAUGAAAUAAUUUUAUGGUGGUGGUCACCCCAACAUGAAUUGUAUUAAAGGGUCGCAGCAUUAGGAAAAUUGAGAACAACUGGUCUAGAGUUUUUUUAGGAGAAAAAAAAAUAAAAGCAGAAUCAGAUCAAUAACAACUUCACUUUCAUACAGUGCUAUAGAAUCUCAGAUUUCAUUUAGAAUUUUGUAAAACUUUACAAGUAAUAUAAUUGGUUGUCUGAGGAUUUAUAAAAUUAAACUGAAAUUUAAAAAUUUUAAAUGAAAAAACUCAGUUUCUUAAAAUUAAAAAUUUUAUACUUCCAGAAUUUAUAGUGGAUUUUCAUUUAACUCAUCUAUCUCCAUGUACAGUUCAUGCAAUAAGCAUCUUGAAUAUAUAGCUAGUGUUGUGGCAUUUCAGUAGGAAAGCAAAACUGAACCUCUACUCUUUAGAACUGUUCCUCGGUGAUGUGAGCCAUUGGAUCUGGAUAUGUUAUUAAACUUGACAAAGAUUUCCGGGAGCAAGAUGCCCUCAAAUCAUGGGUGUGAUUUUUGAUAUAAGACUUCCUUAUGUUAAAAAAUUACAUGAUAUAGUAAUUAAAAGUUGGUUCAGUCUAACUGAACAAGAAUGCCUCCUCCUAUCAGAAAGAUGACCUUUGUUUUUAAUUGAGAUUUGACUACAAACACUUGAUAGGUGUGUUGGCAUUAAAUACAUCAAAACUUUUUGUUGACUGUUUUUGCAUAUUUUACAUUAUUUGGUUGCCAAAACAUAUUUGUUGUGCAUAAUUUAAUGAACUCUAGAUUGUUUAUUUGAAAUCUGACAUUUUACUAAGGCCCUGAGGUACAUCAUUAGGUAUUAAUUUGAGAUCUUUUGUGUGUGAGAGUGUGUUUCUUUUACUGAAAAUAGUUUUUCCCCCUCUCAUAAUAUAGCUUGACUAUAGUUUCCCCUUCCUUUACUCCUCCCAGUUCCUCCCCCCACUCCAUCCAGAUCUAUAAUAUAAUAAAGUAGAAAGUACCACAUUGGAAUUGAACAAAACGAAGAGAAGAAAAAGAACCCAAGAGAUGGCACACUCAGGAAUCCCAUAAAAACACUAAUCUGGAAAUCAUACACAUAUAUAAAUACAAACAUAUUUACACAUGAGAAGGACCUGUUACAGGCCCUGUGCAUGCUGCCUCAGUCUUUGUGAAUUCAUAUGUGUUUUGAUUAUGUUGAUUUAGAGACCUUUUUUUUUUUUUCUAGGUAUCCUCCAUCUCCUCUGGCUCCUAUACUCUUUCUGCCUCCUCUUUUGCAGGAUUCCUUUAUAUCACGGGAGGGAUUUGAUGGAGAUUUCCCAUUUAGAACUGACUGUUCCAAGGUCUCUGGGUCUCUGCAUAUUCUCUGGUUGUGUAUUUUUUCCCAUCUGCUGCAGGAGGAAACUUCUCUGAGGAUGGCUGAGCAAGGCAUUGAUUAAUGAGUAUAGUAGGUCAUUAGGAGUCAUUUUAUUGUUCCCUUCCUCCCUCCCUCCCCACCCCCUCAUAGUAUUUGGUUUUCCCCUAGGUCCCUGGGCCAUUUUGUCUCCAGUUUCUGGUCAUUUGCAAUCUGGUAUGGGUUCCGUCUCGCAGAGUGGGUCUUAAGUCAAAUCAGAUAUUAGGUGGUUACUCUGACAAGCUUUGUGCCACACUUGUCCUAGCAUUUCUUUCAAGGACACCAUUGUCAUUUCAAGGGUUUGGGUUUGGGUUGCUGUUUAUGUUUCUCUUUUACUAGAGUACAGAAUACCUCCCUGUACCAAAGACACUAAGACAUGGGUGAAGGCUCUAUGUAGACACCAGCUCAAUUUCUGUUCAAUGAGUUGUGUAGGUGUUAUCUUCAGCAGUGGGGCCUUGCUGUCAGUUUAUGGAGAGAAACCUAUAGUCCUGGCAGCAGCCUGGGUUGUUUGGGGUUUCCCAUGGGACCUUUUUGACUAAUAACUCAAUUAAAUGUAACCCAGGCCUGGUACUGGAAGGUUGGUUUGGUGACAAGAGAUGGCCUAUUGGGGUUCUGUAUUCCCCCAUUAUUUGGUGAUUGCCUUCACAUAUGUAAAUGUAGGCAUUUUUUUAGCUUUAAACUAGUUUGCCAUUAUUUUCUAGGUAUUCUGUGUAUUAAACUGUUUUGCCUUUUAUUCUCAGUAAUAGGACCUUUAACAUGUAUUUUAAAAGGUACUUUGGGAGCUGUCUGCUUUGUCCCACAAAUGAGCACUGUUAAAUCUGAGGACUGUUUCACAUGUCCCCACUUCCGAGCCUUUGCUCUAGCUCCUCUCUGCCUUUAAUGCCACAGCUGAGUUCUUUGCUACUCGGAGUCUCCGUGACUACAACUAAAGCCACAUUUGACAGUCUACCAUUUCCUUUCUCCUGGUGUACCAGCAUAAAGUAGGAAGUUGCCAGAAAAAUAAGAAAGCCUUCAAAGUUUGUCAUCUUUGUUACCUGUUUUAUCUCUAUAAUCAGUUGAUAAAUUUUAAUGAUACUUUGGAUUCCCAUCUCUCACUACUAUCAGAAUGAUAGUCUAUCCAGACACCAGCUGACAUAAUCUCCCCGAGUACCUCACUAGGUGUUCACGCUGAGAGUGAAGAGAGCAUCCUUUCAGGUUGGCAGACACCCAGUGUGUGAUGAUGCUGAAAUAUCUACAGUUCCUCCACACUUCUGUUUUAUGCCACCUUGCCUUCUUUGACUUCAAAGUAGUUUUCCUGCAUGUAAAAGUGUUAGUUGUCUUAACGCCUACCAAAGAUCUUGAUGAUGUCUUUCCUGUUGUCCCUAACUAAAGCUCUUCCUUAUGUCUCUCUUGGUUAAUACUGCUAACAAAUCUCUUCUCUAUUCUUCUGGUUCAUAUUUCUUGUUGAACUGAAAUAAGCUUCUGUAGUACCUAAAAACAUGGAAAUUUUGAGAUUCUAGGAGGACAUAAUGUGUUAUGCCCCAUUCCCUUAAUUCUGAGCAGAGCUUACCAUGUAUAGUAAGUGUUCAAAUACUGAUGCUUGUUUAUUUGUAGAAGUUUUGCAUAAAAUGUUUUGCUACUCUCUACCCAAGAAGGGAUUAAAUAAGUACCUUUCUUGAAUUCUUUAUUGACUCAGAACACCCUUAUUUCUGUUUUUAUGUGCUCCUGAGCAGUGGGCAUACUGGGGAAUAACUGUAGGCUUCUGGACUGGUCGCAUGUGCUUUGGAGAAGGAAGUUAGGUUGUUACUGAACUUUUAAAACUCCAGUUUUGCCAGGUGUGGUGGUUCAUGUCUGUAAUCCCAAUACUCAGAAAGCUGAGGCAAGAGGAUUACAGUGAAUUCUAGGCCUGCAUAGGUGUAUACAGAAUGUUGCCAGCCAGCCUUGUCUAGACUGAAACCCUUUUUCAAAACAACAAAACCCACCAGAUUUUAAAAGGAAAUUUCUGCUUCUUACUGUCAAUGAUAAUAUGGUAUUGGUAUAAGCAAUGUGUUGCAUAUAUAUUUGUGAUCUUUCUAUUUAAUCUAGUUCUAACAUUGAACUAAUUCUGUUGAGCUAUACACACAUAUGCAUAUACCAGUAUAGACACACAGACAUAUAUAACACUGAGGUUGUAACUUUGUGAACAAACAGAAUAUAAGUAAAAUGCCUUAUGUGCACAUGUGGUUUUGGUAUCAUAUGAUAAUCUUUUGUCUUUUAAAAUGAUAGAUACCAAAAUGUUGCAUGUCCUGUGGGUUUUGUAGCCUUUGCUGGUGUAGAGGCUGACGAUGGUGAGUGUGGCAUAUAUGACAGCAGUGACUGGUUCAGCACUGUUCACAGGUGGUUUGGUGAUUUUAGAUGUUGCCUGAUGAGUGUUCUUUUGAGACACAUGAGAGAAACUUGCUGCACUUUACUGGAAACACCUGAGUUACUGCAGUGACGUGGCAAUUGAACUAACAGACAGCUCUUUUUAUUAUAACUAAGUCUAAACCAGGGCUUCUUAAACUCCUCACACUCAAGCUCCUUUGCACUCGGGACAUGUUUGUGUGACCCCAGUCUAAUCAGCAUAUAAAAUAGGCAUACAGUUCACACACUGGUACUCACAAAUACACUUGCAAGAGUUCUUUGAUGUACUUGUAAUUUCUCUUUUAUUAAUAAAAGAUGAAAGCAAGUAUGUAUACUAAUAAGAUAGAUGUACUUGUUUAUUUUUUCCUACUAAUUAAAUUCUGAUUGAAAAUUUGAUGCUGCAGGGCAAAGAACAUGUCCAUUGUUUUUCAGAGUUGAUUGAUGGUUUGAUUUUGUAAUUGUCAGUGAUGAACCUGCCAUUCAUGUCAGCACCUCAUGCAGAAUGGCUAAGGUAAGUGUAAGAGAACUUCAGAAAACACUGGAAAUUCUAGUCCAAUCCCAAGCCUGAAAACUCAUCAGCAACAAAAAUAGUAAUUUAAAAAUUAAACACUCUUAACAUAAUGAAUUCCAAAGAUAGGUAAUUUUGAUACAUGGAGAGGUAUCCUAUCGUAGUAGGAGAAUAUUUAAAAGUCUUUAUUUUCGGUAAUUAAACCACCGUGCUCGGGAAGAGCAGAAAACUGAGCAGUAGCAGCGCUGCUGUCUGUACUGUAGACUGGAUCUGAGCGGAAAUGUGUCAGGCAGUGUGGAGGGCCUUACAAGCAUGGCAUGUGCGGUGGAAAGUGCAUGCACUGUAUGUUCAGAGCUGCAGUGCCAUUGUUUGAUUUCAGAUUAACUUGUGAUUGUUGAGCAUUCAGAAACUUCUUAUUUUUGCAAUUCCCACAUUCAGUUAUCUGCCCCAUCUGGAGUCACAACUCCAGGACCCAGUGUUUAAAGAAUUUCUUCUUAUAUCUUCUUAUAUUUGAGCAAUAAAGUGUCUUGUUGCCCAGGUGCGUAUAUAAAGUACAAAUAUGUACAUUAUAUUGAGAUAUUUUAUGUCACCUGAAAUAGUGAGAUCUUUGUUUUUCCAAUGCUUUACAUGUGUAAAAUUUAGAUAUACAUGCACACACAUGAUAAAAUAGGGUACCAAGAGUGAAAAACAAAUGGAUGUGAAGCCAUGGAAAUUUUGGGGAAUUCCAUUUCAUAAGUCUUUUUUUUCUCUAACUUUAUGGAUUAUAUAAUUUUCAUUUUCUAAGGCUUAUGGGCCAUCUGAAAAUGUAAUACUAGUAUGGAUGUUAAAAUGUUGAAAUUUCUAAUAUUCCUUCCUCUGGUAUCUUUUUCUUAAUUGCAGUAAAUGUAGCAGAUCAACUACAUGUAAUCACAUGUAUGUAUAAGCUAGUCUAUUUCACCUGCAGAAAUAGGAGGUUCUUGUGCUAACAGUAGUCAUGUGUUCCUGAUCUUGUUCAUUUCAGAGAGACUUACCAGUUCUGUGUCUUGUAUUAAAAGUGAACUUACAGCCAUGAUGACUGUGAUCAUUAGAGUGAGUGAGCGUGCCUAGAGCUGCUUCUCUCUUGCUGAAAAGCAGUACUUUGAGUGAGUGGCAGGGGUGGCUGCAUGUGCUAACAUUUCUUUUGACUAAGGAAUUUUUCUUGAUCUUCCAGACUGAGAGCAUGAAUAUUUCCAAAGCCAUAUUCUGUGUUCAGUCACUGUUUACAGACUUUAUUAAACUAAAUAAAAAAAUGUAGCUGGUAUUUUUCACUUCAGAGAUGGUUUUCAAAUUGGCUCCAUAUGUCAUCAGUCUACUCAAAACAUUUAUAUUGAUGCAGUGUGCUGUGUGUGUGUGUCUGUAAAUCCAGUCAUUCAUGCAACAUGCUUCACACACGUGUGUUUCAAUGGGCUUGUUUCUGUGGUGGAUAUCCAGUCGUUUGUGCAACAUACUUCACACACAUGUGCCCCACUAAGUUUUUUUUUGAGGCUCAAUAAAGUUUAUUUAACCCUGACGAUGCAAAAAAAAUA